rnacentral:rRNA from 1 species
UGGGGAAUAUUGCACAAUGGGCGAAAGCCUGAUGCAGCGACGCCGCGUGCGGGAUGAAGGCCUUCGGGUUGUAAACCGCUUUGAUUGGGAGCAAGCGAGAGUGAGUGUACCUUUCGAAUAAGCACCGGCUAACUACGUGCCAGCAGCCGCGGUAAUACGUAGGGUGCAAGCGUUAUCCGGAUAUUGGGCGUAAAGAGCUCGUAGGCGGUUUGUCGCGUCUGGUGUGAAAGUCCAUCGCUUAACGGUGGAUCUGCGCCGGGUACGGGCAGGCUAGAGUGCGACAGGGGAGACUGAAUUCCCGGUGUAACGGUGGAAUGUGUAGAUAUCGGGAAGAACACCAAUGGCGAAGGCAGGUCUCUGGGUCGUCACUGACGCUGAGGAGCGAAAAGCGUGGGGAGCGAACAGGAUUAGAUACCCUGGUAGUCCACGCCGUAAAACGGUGGAUGCUGGAUGUGGGGCCCAUUCCACGGUUCCGUGUCGGAGCUAACGCGUUAAGCA